GAUGAACGCUGGCGGCGUGCCUAACACAUGCCAGUCGAACGAAGCUUGACGGAUGAUUUCUUCGGAAUGAUACCAGCUAUGACGUAGGGGCGGACGGGUGAGUAAAACGUUAGCAACCUGCCUUCCUGAGGGGGAUAACGGCUGUAAACGGUAGCUAAUACAGCAUCAUGUGUUCGUAGUGCAUCAUCUGAAUGUUGACGAUUAAUGGUUGAUAGAUGGGGUAGCGUCUGAUUAGAUAGGUGGUGGGGUAACGGCCUACCAAGGCUACGUGCAGUAGCCCGCCUGAGCGGAUGAACGGCCACAUUUGGAAUGGGAGACAGCCGAGACUACUACGGGAGGCAGCAGUGGGGCAUAUUGCACAAUGGCCGAAAGCCUGAUGCAGCUACUCCGAUUGAAGGAUGCCGGUUUUCGGAAUGAAAAAUUCUUUACGUAGUGACGCAGAUAGUGACGGUAGCUAAGCAAUAAGCAACGGCUAACUACGUG
rnacentral:rRNA from 1 species